rnacentral:rRNA from 1 species
AUUGAACGCUGGCGGCAGGCCUAACACAUGCAAGUCGAACGAGUGGCGGACGGGUGAGUAAUGUCUGGGAAACUGCCCGAUGGAGGGGGAUAACUACUGGAAACGGUAGCUAAUACCGCAUACCCUCGGAUGUGCCCAGAUGGGAUUUGCUUGUAGGUGGGGUAAUGGCUCACCUAGGCGACGAUCCCUAGCUGGUCUGAGAGGAUGACCAGCAACACUGGAACUGAGACACGAUCCAGAAUCCUACGGGAGGCAGCAGUGGGGAAUAUUGCACAAUGGGCGCAAGCCUGCUGCAGCCAUGCCGCGUAUAUGAAGAAGGAUUUCGGGUUGUAAAGUACUUUCAGCGAGGAGGCGUUACUCGCAGAAGAAGCACCGGCUAACUCCGUGCCAGCAGCCACGGUAAUUC